rnacentral:misc_RNA from 1 species
UGCAUCGAUGAAGAACGCAGCAAAGUGCGAAAUGUAAUGCGAAUUGCAUGCUCUGUGAGUCAUCUAAUCUCUGAACGCAAAUGGCACUGUCAUGUCGAGUGACAGUAUGCCUGUUUGAGAACCACAUAACCAAUCACCUCUAGUUAGCGGUGUCGCUGCCUGUUGACCACGUCUCGGGCUAAAUGGAUGUGCGACGACCAGUAAGGCGUAGUGUGAUAAUCACAUC